UGGGGCCCGACAGGCUGCGGGGCGGCGGGCGCUCAGGGCGAUGCAGCUGCCGCCCGCACUGCACUCCCGCCUGACGGGGGCACCCAGGGCGGCCGAGCCGCUGCCCGUGGCGAGGGACCCCGCGGCCGGGGCCGCGCCCUUCCGGUUCGCGGCGCGCCUGGUGCGUUUCCCGCGAGACCACGAGCUCUUCGAGGACGGGGACGUGCAGCGGCACCUUUACCUCCAGGACGUGCUCACGCAGGUGGCCGCGGCCCCGGAGAGGCCCAGGGCCGGUUUCCCUUGCAGAGUGCCCGAGUUCACCUGCCAGGUGGCCGGCUGCUGCCAGGUGUUCGAUGCCCUGGAGGACUAUGAGCACCACUACCACACACUGCACAGGAACGUCUGUUCCUUUUGUAAGCGGACCUUCCCGUCGGGACACCUGCUGGACACCCACAUCCUGGAGUGGCACGACUCGCUGUUCCAAGUCCUGUCCGAGAGACAGGACAUGUAUCAGUGCUUGGUGGAAGGCUGCCCAGACAAGUUCAAGACCAGCCGGGACAGGAAGGAUCACCUGGUGCGACGGCACCUCUACCCUGCAGAUUAUCGGUUCGACAAACCCAGGAAAAGCAGAGGCCUCAACUCACCCGGGGCCACUAUGCAAGUGUCAGCAGACUCCCUGGGGCAGGACGGGGAGCAAUCUGAACGGGGCACCAUGGAAAUCUGCUCUGAACACACAGCCCCCUCCCGAGAACCCGCCAGUGAGAGGCGGGUCUACAGCCACAGCGCAGCAGAGCCGAGCCGCACCGCCUCUUCACGUGGCUUAAGCUGGGACAGGAAGAGCCUUGGUCAUAAUCCCUUAAGUCUGACCUGAUACCACCGACUAUCUGUUUUGGUCAGGGUGCAUCUCGAGGAUUUAAAAGUACCAAGAAGGGAAGGGAGCAUCAGUGACAUUGGGGACAGAGCCACACCUGCAAGCAGACUCCCACAGGCUCUGAAAAUGACCACAACAUGUUUUCUGGUGAAUGGGAUGCGGAGACCAGCGUGCCUCCCUCUGCAGGUGCCAUCCUAAGAAGGUUCUUUUUAAACACAUAAAGAGAAACGUCCGCUCUUGCCAUGUGACCGGGGGCCACAGCGGGGCCCGUGCGGUGGGUCAUCAGGCAGUUCUCGCGCCGGGGCCCCGCCCCACUGACGCCUCCUCCGCGCUGCCUUCACAUACCCUCAGCCGAAGCAGGACACAGUGACAGAAACACAUGCCCUGUUUAAGUUGUAGCAGAAAAGUGAUGGUAAAAAUACAAUGAGAGGCCCUUUCUUACACAUCCACUUGACAAAACUCCAAAGAUUUGGCAGCACAUGCUUGUCAAGGCUGUGGGGAGACAGGCGUCUCCCACAUUGUCAGCGGGGAUGUGGAACACUGCCGCCCCAAAGAAGAAUUUAACAAAUCCUAACAGGUUACCGCUGCAUUUACUCUUUGACCCAGCAAUCCUACCUCUAGGGCUAUAUCCUGAACACAACA